GGGGGUGAUCGGUUUCGACUGGAGUGAUAGUUCCAGAAGAAGCGGGUCGAGAAUCCAGAGUCAUCUCGUUAAUGUCCUCUGGAAACCAAUAAGUGCCGAUACCAAUCGCACUGACUUCGCUCUCGCUGCCUGAGCAGUGACCGAAGGGUCAGCCCGGAUGUAGCCUUCCGUCCGGAUCCUGGCCUCAUUUAGAGGGCUUGCUUGUCGAUCUGCGUUCGAGGGAUCGACAGGGACUUUUCUCGAACUGGGCUUGGCUGUGACUUGCUGACGUGAGCACAGGAGCCGAGUAGACCGCAAUGUCAGCUGCACCCGGAGAAGAUCUGGUUCGUUACGUCAGGACGCGGGUUCAAUUCCCGCCACCUCCACCA
rnacentral:tmRNA from 4 species